UCAGAUUUUUCCAUAAGUUCUUACCCUCAAAAUAAUGAAUAAGAGAGGUCCUGUGAUGAGAAGAUCCUCAUUUUGUGGAUUUAGAGCUUUAGUGGGACUUUGACUUUGGUUUCUUUGGCUGAGAGGCCUUAGGAGCUGCUUUGUGUUUGAC